rfam:Gossypium hirsutum cultivar TM-1 chromosome 11, whole genome shotgun sequence
AACCCAUGGUGAGGACACCUUCUCAAUAGAUCCUUGUAUCUCUCCCAUGCAUCAUAAAGUGUUUCUAAAUUCGUUUGCACAAAAGAAGAGAUGUCAUUCCUCAAUUU